CGGGGGAAAGAGGGAGGUCUUGAGCGAGUGUGUGGUCCAACCACAACCAUACAUGCCAAAUUUAAUCCCUACCCACACAAAAUACAAUCCAAAUUUAAUCCAAACUUAUAAAAUUAAUCCAAAUAACGUCACACCCACGUACCUUAAUACCUGCUAAGGGUAAAUCCGUCUUUUCACGUCCUCGAUGAAUAAAAUCCCAGGACGGGCUGUGACAUUUGAUCAAAUCAAAUUACAAUCAAAAUCUAAUCUACACAUGCCCAUGGUUCAAACAAAUUUGAAACGGCCUUUCUGACACACCCC
rnacentral:lncRNA from 1 species